UAUGACUUCAUUAGCAGCACUGGCCUCACAGCAAAUUUUCCUUAUAUAAUUCACAGAGGGAUGAUGUAUAAAAGGGACUGUUUCUAUAAAGUAUGUUUUCCUUAAUGCAAGGAAUGAUAUUAAAAUCUGAGUGGAGGACUCCAUAGGCAAGAAAGAAGUCAUUCCAUUUGUAAUAGCUGAACUUGAGAAAAGUUUUAUAGAAAAUCAAGGAAGUAGGGGAUGCACAGAUUCCCAUUAUUUUAGGCCUGGAAGUAGUUCACAAAUCCCAUCAGCAUGUGGACCAUAUGCGGUUUGUUUUGGUUUGAUUAGUUCUGUUAAACUACUGACCCAUAUUCCACAAAAUGCCACCAUGCUGCUCUUUUUUCUAUUCCUUUUGUUGCUUUCUUUUUAUCUCAUUCUCUGACCUCCUGACAUGGCUGACAUGUACAUAUUUUAGGUGAUAUAGAACUCUUCCCUGACCAGCUGGUCCUACUACCACCCAGGCAAAAUUUAAGGACCUAAAGUUUCAAAGAACCCAAUGGAAGCACACCAGAAGCUACAUACCCUUGGAAACAGAGCACUUAUUUGAUAAAUCUAUUGGGUCUGCUUGCUUAUCUCACUUUAAGAAACAUUCUUCUGGUGACUCUGAGUGGCAUGAGAGAAAUGCAAAAAGCAACAGGAAAAAUCAGAGGAAAAGAUUGAAAGUGUUGUGAUUCAACUGUUGUUGCUUCUUCAGUUCACGGACAUCGGAAACGCCGCAGGAAUGUCUCCUGGACCGAAUAACAAUCAUCAAGGUCCUGUCCCUUUCUGAGAGCUGUCCUGCA